GACAGAGGUGCCGAGCGUUAGGCGGAAUCGACUGGGCUUAAAGCGUGUGUAGGCUGGACUUCUAAGUACCAUUGUCGGAAAUCCCACGGCUCAACCGUGGAACUGCUUGGUAGUAACUGGUUGUUCUUGAGGCCACUUAGGGGCGAAGUCGGAACAGACGGUGGAGCGGUGAAAUGCGUAGAUAGUCGUCUGGAACGCCAAAGGUGAAAACAGACUGCUGGGACGUGUGCUGACGCUGAGACACGAAAGCCAGGGAGGCAAACGGG
rnacentral:rRNA from 1 species